CUUCCAGUAGCACCUUAGAGACCAACUAAGUUUGUUAUUGAUAUGAGCUUUUGUGUGCAUGCACAAGAAAGCUCAUACCAAUCACAAACUUAGUUGGUCUCUAAGGUGCUACUGGAAG